AGAUUGAACGCUAGCGGCAUGCUUAACACAUGCAAGUCGAGCGGCAGCGCGGGGGCGACCCUGGCGGCGAGCGGCGGACGGGUGAGUAAGGCAUCGGAAUCUGCCCUGAUGUGGGGGAUAACGUAGGGAAACUUACGCUAAUACCGCAUACGACCGAGAGGUGAAAGCGGGGGACCGAAAGGCCUCGCGCUGGUGGAGUGAGCCUACGUCCGAUUACGCUAGUUGGUGGGUUAACGGCCGUACCGAAGGCGACGGAUCGGUAGCGUGGUCUGGAGGGGAUGGAUCAGCCACA
rnacentral:rRNA from 1 species